UAGUUUAAAAACUCACUUCAUAGCGCUAGUACGUCGAGAUUCUUCGAAAACAUGAAAUAAAAUGCCAGGGAAACUCUCUCGACUGCUACAAAUCCCAUGAAGUUCCGUCAAAGAGCGUAAAAAUUGGCAUUCGACUUGCGUGAGAUAUUAGGUUGAAAUGAGGAGUUAUAAAUAAAUUAAUCCAGACGUGGGUUUUACAGGUGAAAUGGAGAAUGUUCAAAAGUCCUACAAAGACAGUCCCCAGGAUUCUCCUUCAAUAGAAACAAUCGACCCUGCUAGUCUACUGGAGGCUAAUAUAAAGGCUGGAGUGACUGAUGAGAAUCAUCUUCGGAGUCUCGGCUUAAUAAUGGAAGAUGGCAAACCAAGAUUCAAGUUAGACGAGCCUGUGACUGGCCAGACUGAUCUCAGCAUGUCAGGGUCUGGUCUAACCAACUUUCCAUCAGCUCCGAUUACUCAGGAUCAAGAUGAGGAGUCAUUUAUUGUUUUUGGAAGUGAUUCACUGAAUUCGAUACAAGCCUCUUCGAUGGCAUCAUACAUUCAGAUUCAACAGAAGAGUAUGUCGACUGAUUAUAGCUCGUUGAUUUCCUCAUUGAGCAUCGAAGAGACCCAAAAAAAGAUCAAGGAACUACUUCAAGAAAAUGUCAAACUCAAGGAAACAUUGAAGCAAAAUAAUUUGGCCAUGAAACAACAGUUCAAUGUUUUGGCAGCUUGGCAAGAAGAGAUAAUGAAAGUGCAUCAGAGCCAUAAGCAAAAAUUCAGUGAAACUAAGGCGCUAAUCAAUCAAUUGAGGAAGGAAAACGCAGAAUUAAAAGUCAAGGCUUCAAAGGACUCGGUACCGUCGAACAUCAACGAUUCAAAGAUAGAAGAUCUAGAAAUCCAGCUGCAAACAACCUUACUUUCGCAAAAAUCACUUCAACCUCCAAGAGAAGUUGAACUUGAGGCAGCAAAUUCUAAGUUAGUUAAAGAACUGAAUGAUACAAAGACAGUUUGUUACCGGUUGACCGCUGAGGUCGAACAUUACACAGCUUUAUCCAAGCACCUUAGUCAGCAGUUAAAGCACGCCGAGUUAACAAUUGAAGAGUUAAAUCUUGACUUGGAAAAACUGCAGUUAAAUUUAAAGGAAAAAGAGGAGCUGGCAAGCCUUGCAGAUUUCAGUAUAAUUUCUAUGUCAGAACAAACCAAGCCAUCCAAACCGUGGAAAGAUGAAAUUAUUGAACAAGAAAAGGAGAUUGAAUAUCUUCGUGGAUUGAUCAAUUCUUUGGAAUGCCAGUUGAACGUUUCCUCUCAAAAUACAUUUGCGCCAAUUGAAAUUCGAACUCGUGACUCCAGCCAUCCGCCCUCUCCAGAUCAUGUCCAGUUUAACGAAAAUGUGAAACAAUACAACGAAACAUUAGUCCGUUUAUCAGAAUUAUAUGCUAAGUACGCAACACGAUAUAUCGAUGUACAAGAGUGUCUGAAGGAAUUAAUCGAACUUUUACAAGAUUUAGAGCAGCCGGAAAAGAAAGAAGGACUUGGUGUUAAUGAGCAGGAAAAGCGUGACAAGUUGAGGAGCUGCCAAGCCAGAUUGACCAAAGAGCGGCAGGCUAUGAUUAACGAAAGGCAAGAGUUGACAAAAGCUCAAAGUCAAUUCCAAAAAAUAUUUUCCGAUUUCAACUCGUUGUUGUACGAGUUGGAAAUUUUACACGAGGAAAAUGAUAAGCUGAGUUCCUUAAGAGAUAAUAAUGCCUCAGUGGCGGUGACACAAGAAAGUCCGCAAAAAUCGGCAGUUGACGAUGAGCAAAAUUUGGCCAAGGAGAGACUACUUUUAGAAGCUAUGAAAGCAAGUAUUUUGCAAGAACAAAAGGAUCUUAAUGAAGAAAAGAAAGCAAUAAAUGCACUGAAAGAAAAGUGUCAAAAACAGGAUCAAGAGGAAGUGAUAAAAUUGCAAGAAGCCAUCAAACAUUUACAGAAUAGAAACGUAUACUUGGAAAAAUGCCGAACAACUGAUAAGGAAACAUUCGAGCUAUUGAAUCUGGAGAUUAAAUCUUUAAAAUCAGAGGUGUAAGAAUGAGACGAAUUAGAAGAUCAGUCGUGACACGAGUAUCGUCGGAGCACUAGUGCUGAAAAACACCCCCUGUUAUUAGCACAAGUGAAAAUUUACGAGACAGAUUUUAAAGAGGAAAGAGAAGCCAGGGAACGAUUGUCGGCAGAAAAUGAAAAACUUAUUCAUGAAUU
rnacentral:misc_RNA from 1 species